rnacentral:rRNA from 1 species
AGAGAGAGACAUGCGCGCAUAUCAAUAAGCGGAGGAAAAGAAACUAACAAGGAUUCCCUUAGUAACGGCGAGUGAAGCGGGAAGAGCUCAAAUUUGAAAUCUUCAAGGUUUUACCUUGACGAAUUGUAGUUUAAAGAAGUGUUUUCUGCUGAAGUUUUGGUAAAAGUUCUUUGGAAUAGGACAUCAUAGAGGGUGAGAAUCCCGUAUUUGACCAUUAUUUCCAGCUUUGUGAUACACUUUCAAAGAGUCGGAUUGUUUGGGAAUGCAGUCCAAAAUGGGUGGUAAAUUUCAUCUAAAGCUAAAUAUUGGCGAGAGACCGAUAGCGAACAAGUACCGUGAGGGAAAGAUGAAAAGAACUUUGAAAAGAGAGUUAAACAGUACGUGAAAUUGUCAAAAGGGAAGCGUUUGACACCAGUGUUGUUUUCUCGAAAAUCAAUUAAAAAUGGCUCGAUUUUGUAUUGCUUGAGACCUUAAAAGCUCACUGUACAUUUUUCGUGUCUUUUUUAAUGCACUUUUCGUUUAACAAGUCAACAUCAGUUUCUUUUGUUGUAAAAGGGUCAUUGGAAGGUGGCUUUCUUUUCGGAGAAAGUGUUUAUAGCCUUUGGCCUCUGCAAUCGGAGAGACUGAGGUCUGCAGCGUAGACUCUUCGGGGUUAGAUACAUUUGUGCUAAGUUAUAGCUUUUUAUAGACAACUUGUUGACUAUAAUUAGUCUUGUAGCUUACUCGCUUAUGCUAUUUUACCUACGCUUAGGAUGUUGAAGAUGUAGCACAUCAU